CCUACGGGAGGCUGCAGUGAGGAAUAUUGGUCAAUGGACGAGAGUCUGAACCAGCCAAGUAGCGUGAAGGAUGACUGCCCUAUGGGUUGUAAACUUCUUUUAUAUGGGAAUAAAAUGUUCCACGUGUGGGAUUUUGUAUGUACCAUAUGAAUAAGGAUCGGCUAACUCCGUGCCAGCAGCCGCGGUAAUACGGAGGAGCCGAGCGUUAUCCGGAUUUAUUGGGUUUAAAGGGAGCGUAGGUGGAUUGUUAAGUCAGUUGUGAAAGUUUGCGGCUCAACCGUAAAAUUGCAGUUGAAACUGGCAGUCUUGAGUACAGUAGAGGUGGGCGGAAUUCGUGGUGUAGCGGUGAAAUGCUUAGAUAUCACGAAGAACUCCGAUUGCGAAGGCAGUUCACUGGACUGCAACUGACACUGAGGCUCGAAAGUGUGGGUAUCAAACAGGAUUAGAUACCCGAGUAGUC
rnacentral:rRNA from 1 species